rnacentral:misc_RNA from 1 species
GAUGAAGAACGCAGCGAAAUGCGAUAAGUAAUGUGAAUUGCAGAAUUCAGUGAAUCAUCGAAUCUUUGAACGCACCUUGCGCUCCUUGGUAUUCCAAGGAGCAUGCCUGUUUGAGUGUCAUGAAACCAUCAAACUGCAAUUGUUUUUUUGAAUGAUUGUUGGUUUGGAAUUUGGAAGUUUGCUGGAGACUCAACUCAGCUCAUCCGAAAUUUAUUAGCUGGCCUGAAUAUCAUGGAUCUUCCACUUGGCGUGAUAAGUAUCACCCGCUGAGGACUUGUCCAGAUAAUAUUGACCGCUUCUAAUAUAAGAUACUUCUGUAUCGUUUUUGAAUCAUCUGACCUCAAAUCAGGUAGGACUACCCGCUGAACUUAAGCAUAUCAAUAAGCGGAGGA